rnacentral:lncRNA from 1 species
AAGUAGGAAAGAUUGUUCGCUUUGGCUAAUAAAAAGAAUGUCAUAUGGUUCUAUUAGCAUGGACUAUUCUCUUUUCAAUAAUUUAAACUUUUAGAUUGAGAGUCCGUGAUAUUUAGUAGGCAUGGUCAGAUUUGCAUUAGAUUUACAUCAUAUAUCAAGAUUUCAUUAGAUCCAUCAAUGAGUUUUGUAGUCUAUGUGUCAUCCCAUAAUUGAUCCACUUAUUCGUUUAAAUCUAAAUUUGUUGCCGUCCAAAAUUCGACGCGAUGGAGUUGGUGAAUUAAUUGGCGUCGGCUGGUCGACUUGAAGUGAAAGUCUGACAUGCGAGCAAAGAAAGAAUUAGAAAUUGCCGGACUUAAUCAGACAGAGGCCCUUCAAUGCCUAAGUCGGGCAACGUUUUGGUGGAACAGCAGAGGAGAGAAGAUCUGAAAGUAGGAGCUAUGAAAAAUGAGGUACGAAAGAGGUCUCCAUACUAGAGUUUUCUUGUCUCUAUUUAUAGAGAAACGAAGGCAUGGUUCCAUUAUGCAUUGGCUCCAAAAUCAACGGAUGAGCUGUAACCUUCCAUUCUUAUCUACGCUCCUUACUCGCGUGGAGUUGUAACCACUCCUUUCAAUCCAUCCAAAUGUUAAUGUAUGUUCCACAUGUCGCUUCGCUAUUGGAUGAUAUAUUAGAACGAUAGAGAUAGUGGGUAUCAAAUUUGGAUCU